UGUGUUUUAAACGAGGAAAGAGUAGUAGGCCUCUCGCAGUUUAUUGCUUAUAUUAUAAACAAAGAGCCCUGGAAGCCGGUGCGCUAUCAAUCUUACUCGCCAAAAGGUCUGACAGCUUCGUGCCCUGAGAACACAUUUAAACCUUCUAACUCUGUCUUAGAUCAAAUACAGCCAGGAAGAGGGGACCAACACUGAGUACUUAUAUUAGAAUAAGCUUCUGCUGCUGAUCUAUCUUUACUCAAGGAUUUAUUAAUAUGUCAAUUUAAUGACAGAAAUAAUGUGAAAUCGAGAGUCGGUGUGGACAGAAGACAAAGACAGCCAAGCCGUGGAUGAGACUCCCUGAACCCCCAGAACAUUCUUCCUGUGAUGGACGUGUCCGUGCGGAUGUGUGGGAGAACGAGGUCACAUUUAGUUGUCUUUUUAGCCAUCAGGUUUUGGAAGGAGCUGCAUACAUUUCCUGCUACAUAAUUCAUUUUCCUAAAUACGGUUGUUUAUUACGUUUUCAAAUCAUGUAAACCUGAUAUAUGUAUGGCCAACCAAUAUGAAAACAUUACAGUUUAACGUUAUGCUUUGCUUAUUUACGAUUUAGCAAGUGUAAUGU